GGGAACGUGCCUUCCGGUUCGGAAUAACCCUGGGAAACUAGGGCUAAUACCGGAUACGCCCUUAUGGGGAAAGGUUUACUGCCGGAAGAUCGGCCCGCGUCUGAUUAGCUAGUUGGUGGGGUAACGGCCUACCAAGGCGACGAUCAGUAGCUGGUCUGAGAGGAUGAUCAGCCACACUGGGACUGAGACACGGCCCAGACUCCUACGGGAGGCAGCAGUGGGGAAUAUUGGACAAUGGGCGCAAGCCUGAUCCAGCCAUGCCGCGUGAGUGAUGAAGGCCUUAGGGUUGUAAAGCUCUUUUAUCCGGGACGAUAAUGACGGUACCGGAGGAAUAAGCCCCGGCUAACUUCGUGCCAGCAGCCGCGGUAAUACGAAGGGGGCUAGCGUUGCUCGGAAUCACUGGGCGUAAAGGGCGCGUAGGCGGCGUUUUAAGUCGGGGGCGAAAGCCUGUGGCUCAACCACAGAAUGGCCUUCGAUACUGGGACGCUUGAGUAUGGUAGAGGUUGGUGGAACUGCGAGU
rnacentral:rRNA from 1 species